UCUCCGUAGGUGAACCUGCGGAGGGAUCAUUACAGAGUUCGUGCCCUCGCGGGUAGAUCUCCCACCCUGUGUUAUUGCUACCUUUGUUGCUUUGGCGGGCCGCCCUCGUCUACCGGCCCCGGCUGGUACGCGCCCGCCAGAGGACCCCAAACCCUGAACGUCAGUGUCGUCUGAGUACUAUACAAUAGUUAAAACUUUCAACAACGGAUCUCUUGGUUCUG
rnacentral:misc_RNA from 1 species